CACUUCAUAAUUUCGUCCCUUGUCUCUCGUAAACGUAGCACAAAAAUUUGAUACCCAGUAUUUUAAGACAGGUCAUAGAAGCAGUCUUCCUGCACAUAUUUAAAAAUAAUAACAAAGUCAGGAAAAUGAAACAAAUAUGUCACCGGCCAGAGGCACUUGGUGCCAAAAUCAAUACACAAACACAAUAGAGUUGCUACGUGGUACUAAUGUACAUCGUAUUGCUCAUAAGCAGAAAAAGACAAUAGGGUUACUAUGUGGUACUAAUGUACCCUGUAAAUUAGGAUACUUGUGUAUAUAAGCCAAUGUAAUUGAGAAGAAUGAAUCAAGAAAUCAUUAUCCUAAAAUCAGGUUCUUAUUUUCUACAGAUUACAUGGACCAUCUUUAUUACAAGGUCAUCUGACUUGAUACUCCAUCCUCAAAAGCAUGUCCAGAAAUACACCAAGAUUUUGUCCUAAAAAAGAAGUCUAAAGUACACAAACUAAAUGUGAAAUAUGACAUGNNNNNNNNNNNNNNNNNNNNNNNNNNNNNNNNNNNNNNNNNNNNNNNNNNNNNNNNNNNNNNNNNNNNNNNNNNNNNNNNNNNNNNNNNNNNNNNNNNNNUAAUCCUUAGUCAUAAUCAUACCAACAAUUAUCCAUCAAUGCACUGACUUUUACCACAUCAUUUGUAACAUUACAGUCAUGAUUAUACCGAAUAAUCCAUGGUCAUAAUCAUACCAAUCAAUAGUCCAUCUAUGCACGUAAGCCACAGAUGACUUUCAUCACAAUAUAAACAUGAGGAUGAUGACAAUGAUAUAAGCAUUAAUCAAACGAAAUCAAGGAUAAAUAUUAAAGACUUUAAAUUUAUCCAGAGUUUAGAAAUAUCCAAAUUGUCAACAUAAUACUGCUUUGUGGAGUAAAAUUCAAGAAUGAUAUCACUACAAAAAAAUGGGGCUUCAGUAACAACCAAUUUUCGUUGCUAAAGGUGCCAAAUUUCGUUGCAAAAGGGUUUUGGCAACGACUUUACUGUCGUUGCGUCUUUCAUUGCGCAAUGAGCGUUGUUAAUUGUUCCGCAACGAACGUUUUUUUUUCGUUGCCAAAAGUACUACAUUUUGCAACAAAAUUUGACUUUCGUACAGAGACAUCGAUCCUUUAGCAACAAAAUGCAUUGUUGUAGAAUAAUUAAAAUUUUGUUGCUAAAAACCCCAUUUCAUUGCAAAAGCCUACUAAUUGGCAACGAAAUGAACUCUUUUUUUUGGCAACAACCAUGCAUUUUCGUUGCAAUUGACACCAUUUUGCAAUGACAUUUUUCGUUGCAGUAAAUUAUGAAAAUUGUUGCCUAAGCUUGCUUUCGUUGCGGAAUGUAAACUUUUUAGCAACGAUUUUCGUUGCUGAUUAUAUUAUUUGGCAACGACAUUAUGCUGAAUCAGCAACGAAAAUGUUUGUUGCUGGUUAUUUUUCAAUAGCAACGAAAGUCGUCGAUUAGCAACGACAUUAUAUGUUGUCGUUUCUUUAUAUGUGCAACGAAAGUUGAUAUGAUUUGCAACGAUAAAAAAUGUUGCCUUUUAUUUUAGUAUUAGCAACAAUAUCCUCUCCGUUGUUAUUAGGUUAAUUUUUCGUUGCCAAAUAUUAUAUUUUUAAUGCCAUUAGCAACGAAAAUUUGUUGCUAAAUGUAUAAAAAAUUGUUGCUAUAUUAAAACUUGUUCAAUGCUUUGGUAACGAAUUAUAUUGUUGCCAAAUCAAAAUUUGACAUUCUUUUUGUGUACCUGGCUGGCUCAAUGUCCCCAUAGCAAAUAAUGGCAAAAAUACAAAAAACUAAAAUAUUAUUAACUUAAUAAAAUCAUCCACUACAUAAUCAUUCAUUAUCUUUACAAUUAACCAUCUAAAGCUACCACAGUUCUUCAAUCAAAGUAUAUAUCUACAUAUAUAGAGAGAGUACACUUCAUAAUUUCGUCCCUUGUCUUCCGUAAACGUAGCACGAAAAUUUGAUACCCAGUAUUGUAAGGCAGGUCGUAGAAGCAGUCUUCCUGCACAUAUUUAAAAAUAAUAACAAAGUCAGGAAAAUGAAGCAAAUAGGUCACCAGAGGCACUUAGUGCCAAAAUCAAUACACAAAGACAAUAGAGUUGCUACGUGGUACUAAUGUACACCGUAUUGCUCAUAAGCAGAAAAAGACAAUAGAGUUACUAUGUGGUACUAAUGUACACUGUAAAUUAGGAUACUUGUGUAUAUAAGCCAAUGUAAUUGAGAAGAAUGAAUCAAGAAAUCAUUAUCCCAAAAUCAGGUUCUUAUUUUCUACAGAUUACAUGGACCAUCUUUAUUACAAGGUCAUCUGACUUGAUACUCCAUCCUCAAAAGCAUGUCCAGAAAUACACCAAGAUUUUGUCCUAAAAAAGAAGUCUAAAGUACACAAACUAAAUGUGAAAUAUGACAUGCAUAAUAAUUUAACCCAAAGUGCACAUAUCCCCGUAAGAACAUUCCACUCUCAAGUUAAUUACACUAUUUGUGUGGAUCCAAAUAUUAUUGGAACAGUUUUUAUUCUCUCCUCUAAUUUGCCAACCUUAAAUUUGUCAGCCCAUUGUACUCUUAGACAUCCUAUAAAUAAAAUACUAUAUACAUAUAAAUUAAAAUACAUAGAAAGCAGAAUUCUUUAUUAGGACAGAGGGAGUACAAUAUGACCGAAAUGACAGGAAGCUAAAUUGUU
rnacentral:lncRNA from 1 species